ACCUGCAUCGAAAGUGAUUGUGGCCUGACCUGUGGCCUGGUCAUUGAUACUGCAGGAAUAUCACCAUGUGCCAGUUUUUCCCGUGUUUGUAGUGUUGCAUUACGCUAACGAACCCUGUAACUUGCGCACA
rfam:Xenopus laevis strain J chromosome 3S, whole genome shotgun sequence.